GCCCCGGUGGUGGAACGGCAGACACGGCGGACUCAAAAUCCGCUGCCCGCAAGGGCGUGUGGGUUCAAAUCCCACCCGGGGCA
rnacentral:tRNA from 1 species